AUGGUAGACAAAGAGGAGGGUGUCACUGAGGCUUUGAUGGUGGCCAUACCAAAGUCCUUCGGCUUCCUAAGAUGUAGAUGGGUAUGGGCCUUGAAUUCCUCAGGCUAUGGGACCCAGAACAUUCGACUGAGCCAGGAUGCUGUGAAGGACUUUGACUGCUGCUGUCUCUCUCUGCAGCCCUGCCAUGACCCUGUGGUCACACUAGAUGGCUACCUGUAUGAAAGGGAAGCAAUCCUGGAAUACAUCCUACACCAGAAGAAAGAGAUUGCCUGGCAGAUGAAGGCCUAUGAGAAGCAGCGAGGAGCCCAGAGAGAGAAGUGCAGAAAGAGCUUCAGCGAGCUGCAGUACAGGACCAAGUUUGAGGCUUCCUUGAGAAGGAGGCAACCAGUGUGAUCAGACCCCCAACUCCUUCGUGCCCAAGGCCACCACCUUGCCCAACACAGACAGUGAACAGCCAGGGCCCAGUGUGGGUCCCCUAGGCAAGGACAAGAACAAAGCACUGCCCAGCUCCUGGAUCUCCUCACUAACACCCGAGGCAAAGGCCACCAAGUUGGAAAACCCAGCCCGCUCCAUGACUUGCCUGAAGUCGACUGCGCAUGUCGAACCUGUGCUUCACACAGCUGGACGAUUCUGUGGACCGCGUGGGGCUCAUCACACGCAGUGAGGACUACGUUUGUGCAGUGACCCGAGACAGUCUGAGCAAUGCCACACUGUGUGCAGUGCCCUCUGGGGCCGUGGUCACCCUGGAGUGUGUCGAGAAACUGAUCCGGAAGGACAUGGUAGACCCCGUGAAUGUGGAUAAACUGACAGAGUUCGAUAUCAUUGUGUUACAGCUGGGCGGCACAGGUUUUGCGUGCUCCGGAGUGAAGCUACAAGCGGAAAUGUCCUGGCUAGUGAUACAGGCCUGA